CGGAGUGUAGCGCAGCCUGGUAGCGCACUAUACUGGGGGUGUAGGGGCCGUGGGUUCAAAUCCCGCCACUCCGACCA
rnacentral:tRNA from 1 species